UCCCUGGUGGCUCAGAUGGUAAAGCGUCUGCCUACAAUGCAGGAGAUCAUGGUUCGAUCCCUGGGUCGGGAA
rnacentral:tRNA from 1 species